rnacentral:lncRNA from 1 species
GCAGGAACCCGGUUUCUCGCCAGCGAACUGCUCUCAGAGGCUACCGAGCGUUCCCGCCUCGCCGCAGGAACUCUUCUAGCUCGCCCUCGGGCUCUGGGGACCGCUCCACAGCGGGGCCUCCCGGAAUUCCCUGCCGGUCUCCGCGGGCACACUUGGCUGGCUGCUGCGACCAAAACUACCUUCGCGUGGCAGGGUCCUCCCUCCUCCUCACAGACACCCCGACAUCACCCUCAAAACUGGAAGGGACAACCCCGAGUGAUCUAGGCGAUGGUGGAUACCUGAAAGCCACCCAUGGAAAAGGUGAAGAAAGUGCCCCCUGGUUCUCAGAAGAGCCACUGCUGCUGUUGUGAGCAGAUAUCGGAUGGUGUCUCUGGCUGCAUCAUUCGUCAACCACACAUAUUCAUAUGAGUGUUACCCUCCAGCACUGUGCCUUCCAAAAGCCCCUGGCUGAGGAAGCACUGCUUCUGAGCCACAGAGACAGCUGAUUUAUGGACCAUUUUAUCACCGCUUCUAAACUGUGGCUCUAAACCUAACACAGAGGGUAAUGGUAGUGCUGUAUCCAUUCAUUCACCCAAUAAAUAUUUGCUGAGCA